rnacentral:tRNA from 1 species
UCCCGGUUAGCUCAAUUGGUCAGAGCGUCGGACUUUUAGCUACAGGUUCGUUGCGAACCUUGCUAGAGACAUCCGAAGGCUGCGAGUUCGACCCUCGCAUCGGGAG